rnacentral:rRNA from 1 species
UACGUAGGGCGCAAGCGUUAUCCGGAAUUAUUGGGCGUAAAGAGCUCGUAGGCGGUUUGUCGCGUCUGCCCGUGAAAGUCCGGGGCUCAACUCCGGAUCUGCGGUGGGUACGGGCAGACUAGAGUGAUGUAGGGGAGACUGGAAUUCCGUGGUGUAGCGGUGAAAUGCGCAGAUAAUCAGGAGGAACACCGAUGGCGAAGGCAGGGUCUCUGGGCAUUAACUGACGCUGAGGAGCGAAAGCAUGGGGAGCGAACAGG